rnacentral:rRNA from 1 species
UACGUAGGGGGCUAGCGUUGUCCGGAAUCAUUGGGCGUAAAGAGCGUGUAGGCGGUUGGUCAAGUCUGAUGUGAAAGCCCGGGGCUCAGCCCCGGAAGGGCAUCGGAAACUAGCCAGCUGGAGCGCGAUAGAGGAGGGUGGAAUUCCUGGUGUAGCGGUGAAAUGCGUAGAUAUGCGGAGGAACACCGAUGGCGAAGGCAAUCCCCUGGGCCUGCACUGACGCUCAUGCACGAAAGCGUGGGGAGCAAACAGG